rnacentral:rRNA from 1 species
GACGAACGCUGGCGGCGUGCUUAACACAUGCAAGUCGAACGGAAAGGCCCUGCUUGCAGGGUCCUCGAGUGGCGAACGGGUGAGUAACACGUGGGUGAUCUGCCCUUCACUUCGGGAUAAGCCUGGGAAACUGGGUCUAAUACCGGAUAGGAGCCAUUUUUAGUGUGAUGGUUGGAAAGUUUUUUCGGUGUAGGAUGAGCUCGCGGCCUAUCAGCUUGUUGGUGGGGUAAUGGCCUACCAAGGCGGCGACGGGUAGCCGGCCUGAGAGGGUGGACGGCCACAUUGGGACUGAGAUACGGCCCAGACUCCUACGGGAGGCAGCAGUGGGGAAUAUUGCACAAUGGGCGCAAGCCUGAUGCAGCGACGCCGCGUGGGGGAUGACGGCCUUCGGGUUGUAAACUCCGUUCGCUAGGGACGAAGCUUUUUGUGACGGUACCUAGAUAAGAAGCACCGGCUAACUACGUG